UGCUAGUUCUUAACAUGCAGCGGAAGGAGUUCAUCCACCUAAAUUCUUUAAAGUGGAAUGCCAAGCAGAGAGCUAGUGUUAGAAAGUAGAAACAGAUUGUUGGUAGCAUAUGCACAUUUAUUGUGACAAUGUGAAAGCCAUAAAUUUAAAAAUUUUAGCUGAUGAUAGCUGUCCAUCCCAGCCUGCUGGUUCCCUCAAUUAUGGUCUAUAUUGUCUUAAAUAUAUAGAUUAUCUCACUC
rnacentral:lncRNA from 1 species